rnacentral:rRNA from 1 species
UACGUAGGGGGCAAGCGUUAUCCGGAUUUACUGGGUGUAAAGGGAGCGUAGACGGCAGUGCAAGUCUGAAGUGAAAGGCAAGGGCUCAACCCUUGGACUGCUUUGGAAACUGUGCUGCUGGAGUGUCGGAGAGGCAAGUGGAAUUCCUGGUGUAGCGGUGAAAUGCGUAGAUAUUAGGAGGAACACCAGUGGCGAAGGCGGCUUGCUGGACGAUGACUGACGUUGAGGCUCGAAAGCGUGGGGAGCAAACAGG